CAUAAUCUAUAAUCUUGAAUCACUUUUCAUAGGGGGUGACAUGUUCCAAGUCUUUGUUUUAAUUGUUAUUGUUUUAACCAUUUAGUCAUGUGCAACUCUUGGCGACUUUAUAGGAUAGUGCAAUUUACUUUAUUUUGCAAUUUUUAAAAUUAUUUUAAUGUAAAGGUUGCCUUCACUUUUCUUAAAACUGAAAAGUUAUGUAAAAAUCAACAUUGUAGGGUAUUGGGCAAGGAAACUAUAAGGUGAAUUCACUGAGGAACACUUUUAUCUCAACCAAUAUGUAAAUCGAGUCACAAUUUCCCCUUUAAAGGAGCCAAUUGCUUUUCCUUUUAAGGCUACACCCAGCAACACAAAGUUGUGCAUUUUACUGAAUUCUAUCCUAUUAGCUCCUCUCAAUUCAUUACAGGGUGCAAAUAUGAUUCUGUGGCUAAACAUGGUAUCCCUACUAGCAUUCCUCAGAGGUGUUCAUUCUGAGGUCCAGUUGGUGGAAUCUGGAGGGGAUGUGAGAAGACCUGGAGGGUCCCUCCGUCUCUCCUGCCAAGCCUCUGGAUUCACCUUCAGCAGCUAUUACAUGUACUGGGUGAGACAGGCUUCUGGGAAAGGACUGGAAUGGGUGGCACAUAUAGGUACAUCUUCAUCUCCAAUACGCUACUCGGACAAAGUCAAGGGACGUUUCACCAUCUCCAGGGAUGAUUCCCGCAGCCAGCUGUAUUUGCAAAUGGACAGUCUGAAACUGGAAGACACGGCAGUUUAUUACUGUACUAGAGACACAGUGAGAGGAAGUGAAUCUGAGGCCAAGCAAGAACCUUCUCAUCAGAGCAGCUGUUCAAAUUGAGUUCCUUACAGAAAG